ensembl:lncRNA
CCCCCACGAUCAUUUAUCCUACAGUGACGCGGGUGAAACAUAAGCGUUAAUAUUUAUAAUCGUGUCGUGUGACCUGACGCACGCCGUUCACAUUUUAUCUCGAGUUUUAUUAAAGAUUUAUAAAAUAUCAGCGGUGAGGCAUGACGAUUAUUUUCUCAUGACGAUAACAUCAAACCCACACUCUGUCCCCGUCGUCACCACCGAUAAUACGAUAAUAUGGAAAUAAAUGGAAGUAAAGGAACAUUGUUUGUUCGGUUAAUAAUGCCCAGUUAUUUAAAUUCAUUGGGUUUUAAAAAUCGUCCCUAAGGGUGUGCAAACUUUUGUAUGAACUGGAAACAAUACUGGACACCUCAAGCAUUACAGGGACAUAUAUAUAUAUAUAUAUUCUUGAAUUAAUAUAAGCAAUUGUUCUGUGUAUUUAAAAGGGUUUUAUUUUAUAUAUUUUGCUAAUAUUUGUUUUAUAUUUUGUUCUAUUUCAUAUGUAAUAUUUUGUUCUAUUUAUCUAAAGGCUUCUAUUUAAUAGAUUCUGUUGAUAUUUAAAUAUUUUGUUUCAUUUAAUAUGUGAUAUUUUGUUCUAAUUAUUUAAAAGGCUUCUAUUUAAUAUAUUUUUUAAUAUUUUAAUAUUUUUGUUCUAUUUAAUAUGUGAUAUUUUCUUCUAUUUAUUUAAAAGGCUUCUAUUUAAUGUAUUUUUUAAUAUUUUAAUAUUUUUGUUCUAUUUAAUAUGUGAUAUUUUCUUCUAUUUAUUUAAAAGGCUUCUAUUUAAUAUAUUUUUUAAUAUUUUAAUAUUUUUGUUCUAUUUAAUGUGAUAUUUUCUUCUAUUUAUUUAAAAGGCUUCUAUUUAAUAUAUUUUUUAAUAUUUUAAUAUUUUUGUUCUAUUUAAUGUGAUAUUUUCUUCUAUUUAUUUAAAAGGCUUCUAUUUAAUAUAUUUUUAAAAAUAUUUUGGUUCUAUUUAAUAUGUGAUAUUUUCUUCUAUCUAUUUAAAAGGCUUCUAUUUCAUAUAUUUUGCUAAUAUUUUAAUAUUUUUGUUCUGUUUAUUUAAAAAGGUUCUAUUUGAUAUAUUUUGUUGAUAUUUUAAUAUUUCUGUUCUGUUUAAUAUGUCACCCCCCCC